rnacentral:miRNA from 1 species
CGUGUCGGCUGUUGAUCACGGU